UGUGAGCUGUAACCAGGCUGCUGCAAGAAGAAAUGCUGUAUGGAACAAGAAUUUGGGACUCAUUCCUUUCCAAACUAUGAUGAGUGGAGCAACUCUGCCUGGACUGAACUCUGCUCUGCACGUGUGAGAUUCUUAGGUCUUUGAGAAAUUAGCUGGUGUCAUCAAGGAGCUCUGCUUUUUGACAUGAAGAAAAGGCACAGUUUGUUUCCUGAGCUGUCCCUGGGGCUUAAUUUGUGUUGGGGAAAACCAUCAGGGCAUUAAAGGUAAGAGUUUCUGACCACAAACUGCC